rnacentral:rRNA from 1 species
CGAACGGUAACAGGUCUUCGGAUGCUGACGAGUGGCGAACGGGUGAGUAAUACAUCGGAACGUGCCCAGUAAUGGGGGAUAGCUCGGCGAAAGCCGGAUUAAUACCGCAUACGCCCUGAGGGGGAAAGUGGGGGAUCGCAAGACCUCACGUUAUUGGAGCGGCCGAUGGCUGAUUAGCUAGUUGGUAGGGUAAAGGCCUACCAAGGCGACGAUCAGUAGCUGGUCUGAGAGGACGAUCAGCCACACUGGGACUGAGACACGGCCCAGACUCCUACGGGAGGCAGCAGUGGGGAAUUUUGGACAAUGGGGGAAACCCUGAUCCAGCAAUGCCGCGUGUGCGAAGAAGGCCUUCGGGUUGUAAAGCACUUUUGUCAGGGAAGAAAUCCUUUGGGCUAAUACCCUAGGGGGAUGACGGUACCUGAAGAAUAAGCACCGGCUAACUACGUGCCAGCAGCCGCGGUAAUACGUAGGGUGCAAGCGUUAAUCGGAAUUACUGGGCGUAAAGCGUGCGCAGGCGGUUGUGUAAGACAGGUGUGAAAUCCCCGGGCUUAACCUGGGAAUUGCAUUUGUGACUGCACGACUAGAGUGUGUCAGAGGGGGGUGGAAUUCCACGUGUAGCGAGUGAAAUGCGUAGAUAUGUGGAGGAACACCAAUGGCGAAGGCA